ensembl:lncRNA
UGAGAGUGUGAGAGAGUGAGUGAGAGAGAAUGUGAGAGAGUGAGUGAGAGAGUGUGAGAGAGUGAGAAUGUUUCUUUUCCCCUCUGUGCUGAUGUGACUCGCGUUAGCACGCGUGAGAAGCCUGGAGCAGCGCUCGUGCUCUCAGCUCCUGCCAGACGGCCAGGGGAUUUCCACGCGGCCCAAUGAAGCUCUCUGUACGCGGCACGAGGCGGCCGCUGAGUAACCCUCACUUCACCAUCUUACACUUUACACGCGCGUGUUGGGGAAAUCUCACUAAGUCCACACAACGGCCGCAUUCCUUGCACGCAUUAUAAUAGAAUACACCUGCUGCCUCGCCCCUACACUUCCGCUUGCCCAAGUGUAAUACCAUCUACUGGGUAUGACUGGAGCUGCACCGCUGAAAGACUUCCUUCACCCAGGCUGCACUGUGAAUAAAAAUG